UAGGUGCAAUUUUGUCCAAGAUCAAGGAGGAAGAAAUUUGCAUCCACAAAUUGGUGCUUUCAUUGAGAGAAGAAAUCCACACUCGUAGAAGACUCUCGCAUAAAAAAGGUUUUUCUCUAUUUUAUAGUCUACUUGUAUUUUUUCAUACAUUCUUAUUUUUAGAAUUUUUUAUUUGCAAAGAUUAUUUGAUAAAACGUAAAAGAAGAAUACAAUGGCUAGAAAAUUAGAAAAUUCCACAAGUGAAAAUUUCAAUAUUCAAGAAAUGGGACCACGGCGAUCCACGAGGCUAAAUGUGAUCAUAGGAGUGGCACCAUCACUACAGGGCUCCACCAUGACAACCACCGCGGUGGCCACCAUGGUCACCACUACCCGCGGCGAGGUCCAUGGCACCGCUACCACGGCCCAAGCCGUGCCAUCCAAAGCUCACGGCACCAAGGCCACGGCCCAAGCCAUGUCACUCCAAGCCCAACAUGAACUCAACGUGUUGC
rnacentral:lncRNA from 1 species